rnacentral:misc_RNA from 1 species
AGUUUAAAUGAUGCGUUACAUCAAUUACAUUCAGUUUAAUUUAAAUGAGUUUGUAUAUGACAGUAGACGGCAGGGGUUUUUAAGCCCUUCCCGUCUCACAAGUGCACAGGGGGUGUGUGGAUGAAAAAAUAAGAGAAGGUGUGCACAAAUGCUCAAGAGAGCCAGCGACAACCAACUCUAAAUUUAUUCGAUAAUGAUCCUUCCGCAGGUUCACCUACGGAAA